UACAGAGGGGGCAAGCGUUGUUCGGAAUUACUGGGCGUAAAGGGCGCGUAGGCGGCCUUCUAAGUCGAACAUGAAAUCCCCGGGCUCAACCCGGGAACUGCGUCCGAGACUGAAAGGCUCGAAUCCGGGAGAGGGAUGUGGAAUUCCAGGUGUAGCGGUGAAAUGCGCAGAUAUCAGGAGGAACACCAAUGGCGAAGGCAGCACUCUGGGACGUGACUGACGCUGAGACGCGAAAGCGUGGGGAGCGAACAGG
rnacentral:rRNA from 1 species